rnacentral:rRNA from 1 species
CCUACGGGUGGCUGCAGUGGGGAAUUUUGGACAAUGGGGGCAACCCUGAUCCAGCCAUGCCGCGUGCGGGAAGAAGGCCUUCGGGUUGUAAACCGCUUUCGGACGGAAAGAAAUCGCAUGGACUAAUACUCUGUGUGGAUGACGGUACCGUAAGAAGAAGCACCGGCUAACUACGUGCCAGCAGCCGCGGUAAUACGUAGGGUGCGAGCGUUAAUCGGAAUUACUGGGCGUAAAGCGUGCGCAGGCGGUUUCUUAAGCCAGACGUGAAAUCCCCGGGCUUAACCUGGGAACUGCGUUUGGAACUGGGAGACUAGAGUGUGUCAGAGGGAGGUGGAAUUCCGCGUGUAGCAGUGAAAUGCGUAGAUAUGCGGAGGAACACCGAUGGCGAAGGCAGCCUCCUGGGAUAACACUGACGCUCAUGCACGAAAGCGUGGGGAGCAAACAGGAUUAGAUACCCCUGUAGUC